UACGGAGGGUGCGAGCGUUGUCCGGAAUCACUGGGCGUAAAGGGCGCGUAGGCGGCAUGCCAAGCGUGUGGUGAAAGCCCGGGGCUCAACCCCGGGUCGGCCGUGCGGACUGGCGUGCUCGAGCACUGUAGGGGCGGGUGGAAUUCCGGGUGUAGCGGUGGAAUGCGUAGAGAUCCGGAAGAACACCGGUGGCGAAGGCGGCCCGCUGGGCAGGAAGGCUCGCAAGAGCCGGCUGACGCUGAGGCGCGACAGCGUGGGGAGCAAGCAGG
rnacentral:rRNA from 1 species